UAGGGAAUCUUCGGCAAUGGACGAAAGUCUGACCGAGCAACGCCGCGUGAGUGAAGAAGGUUUUCGGAUCGUAAAACUCUGUUGGUAGAGAAGAACGUUGGUGAGAGUGGAAAGCUCAUCAAGUGACGGUAACUACCCAGAAAGGGACGGCUAACUACGUGCCAGCAGCCGCGGUAAUACGUAGGUCCCGAGCGUUGUCCGGAUUUAUUGGGCGUAAAGCGAGCGCAGGUGGUUUAUUAAGUCUGGUGUAAAAGGCAGUGGCUCAACCAUUGUAUGCAUUGGAAACUGGUAGACUUGAGUGCAGGAGAGGAGAGUGGAAUUCCAUGUGUAGCGGUGAAAUGCGUAGAUAUAUGGAGGAACACCGGUGGCGAAAGCGGCUCUCUGGCCUGUAACUGACACUGAGGCUCGAAAGCGUGGGGAGCAAACAGGAUUAGAUACCCUGGUAGUCCACGCCGUAAA
rnacentral:rRNA from 1 species